AAGUCGUAACAAGGUUUCCGUAGGUGAACCUGCGGAAGGAUCAUUAACGUGCCUUCGGGGCGGUUCGGUUCCGAGAGAUCGGGAUCGGUUCCGCGCCGAUUCUGGCCCCACCCGUGUUUACUUUGACUAUGUUGCCUUGGCGGGCCCGUCCGGCUUCACCGCCGACCGCCGGGGGUUUAACCGCCCCUGGUCAGUGCCCGCCGAUGGCCCUCAAUUGAAUCCUGAAUUUAAAAUGAUUGAAUGUCUGAGUCUUAUUAAAAGAAUAAACAAAACUUUCAACAACGGAUCUCUUGGUUCUGGCAUCGAUGAAGAACGCAGCGAAAUGCGAUAAGUAAUGUGAAUUGCAGAAUUCCGUGAAUCAUCGAAUCUUUGAACGCAUAUUGCGCCCUCUGGUAUUCCGGAGGGCAUGCCUGUCCGAGCGUCAUUUCAACCUCUUUCAAGCACGGCUUGUGUGUUGAGCGACGGCCCUCUUCACCGGGGGCCGGCUCCAAAUGCAGUGGCGGCGCCGCUAUACAAGGGUGACUGAGCACAUGGGAAAGGGAUACUCUUCUGAUCUUCGUGCUUGCAAAAGUCCCCGGUGGCAGCUUGCCUUCUCGGUGAGAUUCGGUACCGCUUGCCGGGCCCGAAUAUCCCCCGUAUUCUCAUUAGGUUGACCUCGGAUCAGGUAGGGAUACCCGCUGAACUUAA
rnacentral:rRNA from 1 species